GAACGCUGGCGGCGUGCCUAACACAUGCAAGUCGAGCGAGACUCCGGCAGAAGAGACUUCGGUUAAAUCAGUCGGACGAUAGCGGCGGACGGGUGAGUAACGCGUAGGCAAUCUGCCCCGUACAGAGGGAUAGCCGUUGGAAACGACGAGUAAGACCUCAUGAUGCAGCACUUUCACAUGGGAGAGCUGCCAAAGAUUUAUCGGUAUGGGAUGAGCCUGCGUCUGAUUAGCUGGUUGGUGAGGUAACGGCCCACCAAGGCGACGAUCAGUAGCCGACCUGAGAGGGUGAUCGGCCACAUUGGAACUGAGACACGGUCCAAACUCCUACGGGAGGCAGCAGUGGGGAAUAUUGCACAAUGGAGGGAACUCUGAUGCAGCAACGCCGCGUGAAGGAUGAAGGUUUUCGGAUCGUAAACUUCUGUCCAUGGGGACGAAGAAAGUGACGGUACCCGUGGAGGAAGCCCCGGCUAACUACGUGCC
rnacentral:rRNA from 1 species